rnacentral:lncRNA from 1 species
AAAAGACUCUGAUGCUGGGAAAGAUUGUGGGCAGGAGGAGAAGGGGACGACAGGAUGAGAUGGUUGGAUGGCAUCACUGACUCAAUGGACAUGAGUUUGGGUGAACUCCAGGAGCUGGUGAUGGACAGGGAGGCCUGACGUGCUUCAGUUCAUGGGGUUGCAAAGAGUCGGACACGACUGAAUGACUGAACUGAACUGAACUGAACUGAACUCCAAAUUCCCAAUCCAUUUUUCCCCGCCCUCUCUCUUGGUAACCACAGGUCUAUUCUCUAUGUCUGUGAGUCUGUGUCUGUUUCAUGGGUAAGUUUACUUAUGUCAUAUUUUAGAUUCCACAUUUAAGUGGUAUCAUACGAUAUUUGUCUUUCUCUUUGUGACUGACUUCACUUAGUAUGAUAACCUCUAGGUCCAUCUACGUUGCUGCAGAUGGUUUUAUUUCACGCUUUUUUAUGGCUGACCACCUGUCUUUCUUUAAUGGAACAAGAUGGAUUUGUAGACUGACUCACAUAACACAGUGGAAGUCCUUCAAUCAUUGGCCUAAGAUGACAAAGCUGAUUCCAUCUAGAACAUUCCCAUUUCUUGUGGUACAUGAAGAAACAUUUGGUGAGCACUCGCCAAAGCA